GACGAACGCUGGCGGCGUGCUUAACACAUGCAAGUCGAACGGAAAGGCCCUGCUUUUGUGGGGUGCUCGAGUGGCGAACGGGUGAGUAACACGUGAGUAACCUGCCCUUGACUUUGGGAUAACUUCAGGAAACUGGGGCUAAUCCCGGAUAGGAGCUCCUGCUGCAUGGUGGGGGUUGGAACGUUUCGGCGGUUGGGGAUGGACUCGCGGCUUAUCAGCUUGUUGGUGGGGUAGUGGCUUACCAAGGCUGUGACGGGUAGCCGGCCUGAGAGGGGGACCGGCCACAAUGGGACUGAGAUACGGCGCAGACUCCAACGGGAGGCAGCGGUGGGGAGUAUUGCACAAUGGGCGGAAGCCUGAUGCAGCAACGCCGCGUGCGGGAUGACGGCCUGCGGGGUGUAAACCGCAGUCGCCUGUGACGAAGCGUGAGUGACGGUAAUGAGUAAAGAAGCACCGGCUAACUACGUG
rnacentral:rRNA from 1 species